ensembl:lncRNA
AUGCAUCGUCUUGGUACUUCUGUUUUGAUGCUUAUUAUACUACCUCUUGCGUUUUCCUGUGAAAGUGGCCACGAUAAAAAACAGAUCCCCAAGGAAUACCGCAAUAUCAUUAAGAUACAACUGAAGCACGUUGAGUCUAUUAUUGAACAACUCGAUUCAAACUGUACAGCAAGAAAUGUCAGCAUGUUGAAGGAGCCAAAAAAUAUGCAGUCCAUCCACAGAAAAAUCUGCAAGGUUAACGGAAAACUGAGGAGAACCAAGGGGGAUUCAGCACACAUAAAUGGACAAUUGAAAGAUGUGUUAUUAAAACUUGUGGAUGAAAUAAAUACGUCCUUGAGAUGUUGGUGCCAUGGAAAGAGAGAGGGGACAAAUAAGCCAAUACAGAAAAGACAACAGUGGAAGCUUUGCAGAGUGAAAGACAUUCUCGCCAACUUACAGAGAUACUUUGAACAAUACAAUGCAUAUCUGUCACUCAGCACAGACCUUCCAGAGCGUGGGAAGACUUCAGAGCAAACCGGUAUAUAAUACUCGGCCUCCAUUCAUCUCAAAGCUCUAUUACAAUGUUCAGAAUAUGAAGAAGUAACUGGACGCACCAUGUGCCAUUAACACUAUUCAGUAUUUGACUGAAGAAAACCUUUUUACGGGAAAAUAUGUGCUAACUAUAAACAUAAUACUUAUGCAUGAAAAUGUUUCAAAACAUUGAACUUCGGAUUGUUAUAUUUGAGUACGGAGGGUGCAGCAAAUGGAACUCACAAACUAAAAAGUUGGUUUCAAAUCCUAUAUUAUACUAAUUUUCUAGGCCUCAAGUUACAACUUUGUAGUUUUUGAUUGCUUCUUUUUUGGGAAGUGACCCUAUACAAGUCUUACACAUUUUCUUACAGUAAAGCUGUAAUAGAUUACGCUCUCAUUGUGUUUUUGAAUGUUCUAUACACAUUAACUGUGAUGGAUUUAGUUAAUGCUUUUUAUAUGAGGUUCCUAGUUUUGUAAAUUAUAAGUAGAGCCGUUUCUUAAAAAUCCUUUUAAAGGGUUACUCCACCCCAAAAUGAAAAUUUUGUCAUUUAUCACUUACCCCCAUGUCGUUACAAACCCGUAAAAGCUUUGUUCGUUUUCGGAACACAAUUUAAGAUAUUUUGGAUGAAAACCAGGAGGCCUGUGACUGUCCCAUAGACUGCCAAGUAAAUAACAGUGUCAAGGUCCAUGAAAGGUGAAUUUACUUUUGAUUUGAAAGAAAACAGCGCAUCCUUGUGGCGCGGAUGAUGCAGAAGAGCAUACACAGCAUACGGUGAUAUGGAGAGACACAGAGGAGACUGUUGACAAAGGAAUUGUCGAAUAAAGUCGUUAUUUUUGUUUUCUUAGCUUACA